ACCCGGAGAGCGUCGCGACGCUUAGUAUAGCGCGGGCCAACGGACCGAAAUAACGCGAAACGCGAACCACCAAAAACCGACGCCACCGCGCGAGCGUUUUUAGUUUUUUUCGGUUUUAAUUUACAAAAAAAAAAACAAAAAUUAAAAUUGACAACGACAUGUCUUAGGUAGAUCCUAAUGUAGUCAUUUCCACUAAAAGACUAAUAGUAUAAGUGCCAUAAAAAGAAGAUUUCGACUUAAAUGUAACUCCCAUCGCCCUCGUACGCAUGAUACCCUUAAUGCGAAAGACAGUGUCGUACUCACGGUCGCGAUGUCGCAUUCCAGCAGAGCAUGUAUGUCAUAUUUCCGGCAGAUGAGGUAGUAUAUCUGUCAUAUGAUCGCCUUAUCGUCGUACCCGAAUCUAGCCAAGAGAUCCCUGUAGUCCCAACUACAGCUCGUAGAACAGGAAACAUUGAUACCCAGCCAGAAGCAGGACCAUCCAAAAUUGAGUGCGACUCGGUUGAAGGUCAACCCUCUUCGAGUCGAGGUUGCAACCAAGACACCCCAGUAAGCAGACCCAAGAAAAAAGGGCUGAGAUUUAACUUCAGCUUACUCAAAAGGAAAAGCUCUAAGGACUCAGAGGCUCAGGGGGCAUUAAGCUCUAGAGUAAGACACUCCGUUGGACAUAGAGAGCAUUCGGGUGUAAAUGCACCCCCUUCAGAAGUAUUUAGGCAAUACUGUAACAUUUCCUCCCCAGUAGAUCCCCCAAAGGCUUGUAAAGAGAGAGAAAAGACUCCGUCCAGCGAAGAAAAGCUUUCGAGCAAAAGAUCCUCGACCUCCUCGUCAAGUAAACCACCUAUAGGCAAACCCUUACCACUUUCAGAAGAAAGUGGGAGCAAACGAUCCAGUAAGCACAGCUCGUCGUCAUCGAAAUCCGCCAAGCAAGGUAAAGAGUCCCCUGUGAGUCUACCGAACAGCAUUUCCACCCCAGCAAGACGUUCCAAAACCCCCACGAGGAAAACAUCAAACGCCAACCUGAACAUCGAGCAUUUCUCCCCGAUCUCCACCAGCAGGGAAAAAAACUUGGUGGAACCCAGUCCGGAACCAAAAGUGAAAUCGCGUAGCAACCCCUUCAAGUUGAGUUUCCGCAAGAGUAAAACCCCCGAGCCCUCAACCAGCCAAUCUGCCCGUAAGAAAGAGAAGAAACCUCCCGCACCAACACCACCGCCACCAUCUGCAGAAAGAAAACUGUCGUUUUCCGACUAUAUCGCCGUGAGUCGCGAGAAAUCUGCCGUGAACAGUAGUGAUAACCGUGAUAAGUUGCCGUCCGGUGCCCGUGAUAAUAAGACGCCGGUGCUCGGUUUGUUUCGGAAAACCUCGUCGCCUAAGAACUUAGGUCGCGAUCGCACUCCGCAUUUGAAUCAGCAGCAAAGUUUUCUGUUUCCCACUGAUAACUGUUCGAGACCUGCUAGUGCCGAACCCGGGCUCGUAACAGAUAAAAGGAGUGACGCGAGCAAACCGAAGGGCGCGCCACGUCGUAAAGAUCGCGUCUAAUCAUCCCCCAAUCAUUCCAAGAUGGCGUCCAACGAAUCUGCUCUAAAGGAUCUGAUCCAUCCGGCGUACAACGAACACCUGAAAUCCCAUAAUACUGUCGCUUUUAAAUUAGUUAAAACCGUUUCGGAUUUCACUCAGCAACUGGGCCAGAUGUACGAGCAACAUGCCGAGGAAAUGCAAAUGUUGGUAUCCAACUUUCGGAAGCGAAACAACGAACUUAGAAAAGAGAGACCGGCGUGCCCCAGCUCGUUAUAUCACACCUGGGAAGCCCUCCUUCAGGAAGUCGAGAUCGAUUCACAGGCUAUGAACGAAAUAGCUUUAAUACUGGGCCGUCAGGUAUCCAGACCGAUGUUGGAACGGUCGUUUUAUAGGAAAAUUCAAUCCAGGAAGGUAUUUACGCACAGAGAGAGUUACGAGACUAUUAUCGCUAAGACGGAGGAGAAACUAGCAAAGUCAAGACAAGAAUACAAAAAUGCUUACCUGACCUACCUGGCGAACCCAACAACCGAGAGCUUGAGCGCAUAUUUCAAUGCGCACAAUGCUUACGUUCAACAGCUCCACGCCACCAACGGUAUGAUGGAAGAAUUCGGUAACUCGACGCUGCCAUCUUUAUUACAGGAAUUAGAAGAAAUUUAUACUGAUCUUUGUUCUACGGUGACUGAAGCGGUCAUACAGGGUGCAGAAGUAGUUUCAUCUAGGGCUUUAGAGCAACAUAAACGUUACGAAGCUUUGGCGAAUCAGUGUCGUUCGGUGACAGGGUCAGCUGAUCUCGUACAUUUGACGAGGUCAUUGCCAACCCCUCAGGGCAGGGGAUUGAUAAUUAAGAGGGUCUUUGUGCCGCCCCAACGGCCACCCUCUCCCGAAACUACCGAAGUGGACGUAACCAAUGGACAUUUGAACAACGAAAACAUCCCUCCGCCUCUGAAAGAUGAAUUAGUGAUAGAUCAGCUCUCGGCGGUCCAGAUAAAGCCCUCCCACGACGCCCUUAAGAAGGAGUCUGACGACCUUAAGGUCCAGAUACGGCAGAUCCAAGACGCUCUGGAUACACUGUUGCGGAUCCAGCAACGGUCAGUCGAGGCGUCGCUUUUUAAUAAAGCGAAUGAGUUACAAGAGGACAUUUCGAUGAAAAGGUUCGAUUUGAGGGUGUCGCAGAUCCAUUUGAGCGCCAUUAAUGCACAGAAAGAAUUAUUUACCCAUAAAUUAGAGGGUGAUACGGGGGUGGGUCGCGAACGUAAAAUGUCCGCCUCAUCUACCGCGAGCAUGAAGAAUAAAUGGCUGAAGGCUUUUAAGAGUCUUAAGACACCCCCGCCGGAAGAACCGAAACCAAAAAACCAAAUGUACCACGCAGUAUCGACAAUAAUGUCUAUGAGGAAAAAUGGUUCGGCAGCCACAAAGGAACUUUUGAAGGGUGAUCCGGAUGCUCAUAAUUUCCAGGAGAAUACUUACAAGAAAAUCACGCCGUGCGACGUAUGCUCACAGAUAUUACGAGGGCACACACGUCAAGGGCUGAAAUGUCGCAUUUGUAAGAUGAACGUGCACUUCGACUGCCAAAAGGACGCCCAGAAAUGCCAAACGAAAGCGAAACUGCUCCGGAGACAAAAAUCCACGUCGGAAAUCGAGACCAGGAUACCCCAGGAUAUGAACACCGAGGACGAAAAUAUAACCGAGGGUGGUAUGCCAACAAUAAACCGUCGGAUUUCCGUGAAGUCUAUAGACCGAAAUCGGGUGUUUCCCUACAACGACAACGACGUCGAUUUAGAAAACCAAACGACCGAAGUGGACCAGAUCUACCAGGUACUAAAACAAGCUACGGAAAUCUCGAAUGCGAAACCCCGUGUGAACGUAGAGGGGCCGAGCGAGCGUUCGAAUCCGGGUAGCAACUCCGGGAGCGGCGGUGGCUCCGGACAGAGUCUUAACGCUAAAACCGUGACCAGAUUGACUCCCCAACCCGCCAGAGCUUCCGCCGGAUCUAAUUUGACCGUCAUUAAUCCCGCACCUUGUGCUACCAGUUCAGGACGCAUGAAGAUUCCUUCUUCCAGUUCUGGAUUGUUUUGCCCGAUGUUUGGAAGCCAUACCGUCGCGCCCCACUCCCCCCGUCGGCAGAAACUGAACCUGCGCAUGAAAAGUCUCUCGCUAGACUCGCCGGAGAGUACGGAGCACGCGCAGCGACGCCAGCGUCACGGCGCUAACGCCGCCAGCGAUCCCCACUCGAAUCACAGCUCGUCCUCCAAGAUUCAGUGUAUGGAAGAAGAUAUGAGUUUUUGUUUUGGUUGCCACUACUACCCUUCCUCCAAGGUCUCUUCCAACUCAUCCGGUUCGAAAAGAUCUGAAAACUCAAUCAACUCCAUCCAGUCCGGUGCACAACAGACGGCUCUUAUCGGCAAAAAACAUUCGAACCUCAUCAGUGGAACUACCAGAUGAUAAUGACAAGAGUCCCUCUUCUGCCAGUACUUCUCCAUGCCCUAGUCCAGUAGGAGGAAAAAAGUCGCAUAGGUUACUUCCGACGAACCUCUACGUUGUGCUCUACAACUUCAAGGCAAGACACCAAGACGAGUUGGACCUGAAAGCUGGAUACAAAGUGACCGUCAUAGAUACGUCAGAUCCAGACUGGUGGAAAGGGAAGUGUUUGGG
rnacentral:misc_RNA from 1 species